GGAGAGAUGGCUCAGUGGUUAAGAGCACUGGCUGCCCUUCCAGAGAACCUGGGUUUGCUUCCCAGCUCACACCU
rnacentral:tRNA from 1 species